rnacentral:rRNA from 1 species
GCCGUCCUUGAAAUACCACCCUUGUAUGUUUGAUGUUCUAACGUUGGCCCCUAAUCGGGGUUGCGGACAGUGCCUGGUGGGUAGUUUGACUGGGGCGGUCUCCUCCCAAAGAGUAACGGAGGAGCACGAAGGUGGGCUAAUCACGGUUGGACAUCGUGAGGUUAGUGCAAUGGCAUAAGCCCGCUUAACUGCGAGAAUGACGGUUCGAGCAGGUGCGAAAGCAGGUCAUAGUGAUCCGGUGGUUCUGAAUGGAAGGGCCAUCGCUCAACGGAUAAAAGGUACUCCGGGGAUAACAGGCUGAUACCGCCCAAGAGUUCAUAUCGACGGCGGUGUUUGGCACCUCGAUGUCGGCUCAUCACAUCCUGGGGCUGAAGUCGGUCCCAAGGGUAUGGCUGUUCGCCAUUUAAAGUGGUACGCGAGCUGGGUUUAGAACGUCGUGAGACAGUUCGGUCCCUAUCUGCCGUGGGCGUUGGAAGAUUGAAGGGGGCUGCUCCUAGUACGAGAGGACCGGAGUGGACGAACCUCUGGUGUUCGGGUUGUGUCGCCAGACGCAUUGCCCGGUAGCUAAGUUCGGAAUCGAUAACCGCUGAAAGCAUCUAAGCGGGAAGCGAGCCCUGAGAUGAGUCUUCCCUGAUACUUUAAGUAUCCUGAAGGGUUGUUCGAGACUAGAACGUUGAUAGGCAGGGUGUGUAAGCGCUGUGAGGCGUUGAGCUAACCUGUACUAAUUGCCCGUGAGGCUUAACCAUACAACACCCAA